UCUAGUUGAAAUGGUAGCUUACACUCCU
rnacentral:sRNA from 1 species